GGGGAAUAUUGGGCAAUGGAGGAAACUCUGACCCAGCGACGCCGCGUGAGGGAUGAAGGCCUUCGGGUUGUAAACCUCUUUCAGUAGGGAAGAAGCGAAAGUGACGGUACCUACAGAAGAAGCACCGGCUAACUAUGUGCCAGCAGCCGCGGUAAUACAUAGGGUGCAAGCGUUGUCCGGAAUUAUUGGGCGUAAAGAGCUCGUAGGUGGUUCGAUACGUCGGAUGUGAAAAUCAGGGGCUCAACCCCUGACCUGCAUUCGAUACGGUCGAGCUAGAGUUUGGUAGGGGAGACUGGAAUUCCUGGUGUAGCGGUGGAAUGCGCAGAUAUCAGGAGGAACACCGAUGGCGAAGGCAGGUCUCUGGGCCAAUACUGACACUGAGGAGCGAAAGCGUGGGGAGCGAAC
rnacentral:rRNA from 1 species